rnacentral:rRNA from 1 species
AUUGAACGCUGGCGGCAUGCCUUACACAUGCAAGUCGAACGGUAACAGGUUAAGCUGACGAGUGGCGAACGGGUGAGUAAUGUAUCGGAACGUGCCCAGUCGGGGGGGAUAACUACUCGAAAGAGUGGCUAAUACCGCAUACGACCUGAGGGUGAAAGCGGGGGACCGUAAGGCCCCGCGCGAUUGGAGCGGCCGAUAACAGAUUAGCUAGUUGGUGGGGUAAAAGCCCCCCAAGGCGACGAUCUGUAGCUGGUCUGAGAGGACGACCAGCCACCAUGGGACUGAGAAACGGCCCAGACUCCUACGGGAGGCAGCAGUGGGGAAUUUUGGACAAUGGACGCAAGUCUGAUCCAGCAAUGCCGCGUGCGGGAAGAAGGCCUUCGGGUUGUAAACCGCUUUUGUCAGGGAAGAAACGAGUUUCUCUAAUACAGAGACUUAAUGACGGUACCUGAAGAAUAAGCACCGGCUAACUACGUGCCAGCAGCCGCCGUAACAC